GUGCAGGAAGCCCCCUGUCUGUUUCCUGGGCCCCGGGCCUCAGCCUCCGUGCGCGCCUCCACGCGGGCUCCUCCACCGAUGGGGAGGACCGAGACUGGCCCCGGAGGCGCUCGCACCCCGCGGCGGGGGUCGGGAGAGGCAGCCUGGCCCCAGCUCCUUCCCUCGGGCUGCGCUGAGUGAGAAACGGGGUCCCUGGACCGCCCCCGCCCCGAGGCUUCGGCGCCCGGACUUACCUCCUCCGGUCACCGAGACCUGGGCCAGGCUGGGGUGAUGCUGGCUUCCUGCUAUUUUUAGCCCUGGUGUUCAUCAUCCUUUGUGGAUUCUCUUACCGCUGAGUCUGCAGGCGAAUCUUACUACUUAUUUCACUAAAGCUACUCCGUCUCCCUAAGCUGAAAUCUUUCACCUGUAAAAUGAAGUACUAACCCUACGGCAGGUGAAGAAAGUUCCAUGAGGAUGUGUGCCUGACAGAGUGUGGCGCCUGGCACACAGAAGACCCCAACCCUUGACAGGCAAGGAAACUGAGGCUUGUGGAGUUUACAGCCUAAGCAAGCUCAUUCCGUUGGAGAGUGGUGGAACUGGCUCCCCGCC